CAANGUAUGCUUUGGAAACUGUUAGACUUGAGUGCAGAAGGGGAGAGUGGAAUUCCAUGUGUAGCGGUGAAAUGCGUAGAUAUAUGGAGGAACACCGGUGGCGAAAGCGGCUCUCUGGUCUGUCACUGACGCUGAGGCUNGAAAGCGUGGGUAGCGAACAGGAUUAGAUACCCUGGUAGUNCACGCCGUAAACGCUGAGUGCUAGGUGUUAGGUCCUUUCCGGGACUUAGUGCCGACGCUAACGCAUUAAGCACUCCGCCUGGGGAGUACGACCGCAAGGUUGAAACUCAAAGGAAUUGACGGGGGCCCGCACAAGCGGUGGAGCAUGUGGUUUAAUUCGAAGCAACGCGAAGAACCUUACCAGGUCUUGACAUCCCGAUGCCCGCUCUAGAGAUAGAGUUUUUCUUCGGAACAUCGGAGACAGGUGGUGCAUGGUUGUCGUCAGCUCGUGUCGUGAGAUGUUGGGUUAAGUCCCGCAACGAGCGCAACCCUUAUUGUUAGUUGCCAUCAUUAAGUUGGGCACUCUAGCGAGACUGCCGGUAAUAAACCGGAGGAAGGUGGGGAUGACGUCAAAUCAUCAUGCCCCUUAUGACCUGGGCUACACACGUGCUACAGUGGUUGGUACAACGAGUCGCAAGCCGGUGACGGCAAGCUAAUCUCUGAAAGCCAAUCUCAGUUCGGAUUGUAGGCUGCAACUCGCCUACAUGAAGUCGGAAUCGCUAGUAAUCGCGGAUCAGCACGCCGCGGUGAAUACGUUCCCGGGCCUUGUACACACCGCCCGUCACACCACGAGAGUUUGUAACACCCAAAGUCGGUGAGGUAACCAUUUAUGGGGCCAGCCGCCUAAGGUGGGANGGAUGAU
rnacentral:rRNA from 1 species